rnacentral:rRNA from 1 species
GAUGAACGCUAGCGGCAGGCUUAAUACAUGCAAGUCGAGGGGCAGCAUGAUUGUAGCAAUACAAUUGAUGGCGACCGGCAAACGGGUGCGGAACACGUACACAACCUCCCAAUAAGUGGGGAAUAGCCCAGAGGAAUUUGGAUUAAUACCCCGUAACAUAACGAUGUGGCAUCACAUUGUUAUUAUAGAUUUUUCGCUUAUUGAUGGGUGUGCGGCUGAUUAGAUAGUUGGCGGGGUAACGGCCCACCAAGUCUACGAUCAGUAGCUGAUGUGAGAGCAUGAUCAGCCACACGGGCACUGAGACACGGGCCCGACUCCUACGGGAGGCAGCAGUAAGGAAUAUUGGACAAUGGAUGCAAGUCUGAUCCAGCCAUGCCGCGUGAAGGAUUAAGGUCCUCUGGAUUGUAAACUUCUUUUAUAAGGGACGAAAAAAGGCUUUUCUAAGUCGUCUGACGGUACCUUAUGAAUAAGCACCGGCUAACUCCGUGCCAGCAGCCGCCGUAA